rnacentral:rRNA from 1 species
GACGAACGCUGGCGGCGUGCUUAACACAUGCAAGUCGAGCGGUAAGGCCCUUUCGGGGGUACACGAGCGGCGAACGGGUGAGUAACACGUGGGUGACCUGCCCUUAGCUCUGGGAUAAGCCUGGGAAACUGGGUCUAAUACCGGAUAUGACCUCAUGACUCAUGUUGUGGGGUGGAAAGCCUUGUGCGGCUAGGGGAUGGGCCCGCGGCCUAUCAGCUUGUUGGGUGGGGUAAUUGCCUACCAAGGCGACGACGGGUAGCCGGCCUGAGAGGGCGACCGGCCACACUGGGACUGAGACACGGCCCAGACUCCUACGGGAGGCAGCAGGUGGGGAAUCUUGCGCAAGUGGGGCGAAAGCCUGACGCAGCGACGCCGCGUGA